CAGCCGCCGCGGGAAUACAGAGGAUGCAAGCGUUAUCCGGAAUGAUUGGGCGUAAAGCGUGCGCAGGCGGCUUUGCAAGGCAGAUGUGAAAUCCCCGGGCUCAACCUGGGAACUGCGCUUGUGACUGCACAGCUAGAGUACGGCAGAGGGGGGUGGAAUUCCACGUGUAGCAGUGAAAUGCGUAGAGAUGUGGAGGAACACCGAUGGCGAAGGCAGCCCCCUGGGCCAAUACUGACGCUCAUGCACGAAAGCGUGGGGAGCAAACAGGAUUAGAUACCCCUGUAGUCCCUGUCUCUUAUAC
rnacentral:rRNA from 1 species